UCUCUUUCUCCUCCUUCCCUCAUCCUGCCUUCUCCAGGCUCAAAACUCAAAUUCAGUUUCCAUCAAAGUCACUUAUUGGUGACCUUGGACUCUUAGGUAAAGAACAUCUGCUGUGGUUGGUGUGGCUGGAGCAUAGGACCUCCAUGAGGAACGAGCCUGGAAGAAGGUCACAAUGUUGUCUGAACCGCACCUCAUUUUGUUGGGGAACUCCCUCCCCUUGCCCCACGUGCUUCCAAUGGGGACUGCUCAUCCACGUCUCCUGAAUGCCCGGCCCACCUGGAUUUCUCCAAAUUGCUGUUGGGGAGGCCUGUGUCCUGUGGAGCCAUCCAACGCUAUUGGCUGGUUUGCCAGGAAGAGCUCUCAUCCUCACCCACACUGGGCAGAGACAACAAAGCCAGCCCUGAGUGCUGUGCCAGCCGUGGCAAUCGCCUGGGAGAGAAGAAGCUUUUAGAAGUUAACUCCGUCAGGGCCACCCCAGCUACAGGGAGCUGUGCCCUAAGAUGCCUGCUUGCUGCCAAACCUGAGGGUCCUCCUAAGACUAUGAGUCGUAUAGAAAUCGAGUUAACCUUCUAGAAUCAGAGUCUGUUGGAGCAGAUGUAAACAGCCUGCGUUAGGAAGGAAGGCAUGGUUCUGUUCUGGUUUGCAUGGAGCAUCUGAGAGACCCGGCAUGGGCUGUGGAGUCAUCAAGACUUGGCUUUGAAUUCUAGCCUGUUUCUUCCUUCAUCCGUGAAAUGUGCUUGAUAAUAUCUAUCUCACAGACUGUCCUGAGCAUCAAAUGUAAUCGUGUAUAUAAAAGUACUUUGUAAAUAGCA
rnacentral:lncRNA from 1 species